UAGAUACCCAGGUAGUCCACGCCGUAAACGAUGGAUGCUAGCUAUUGGGGGGAAUCGACCCCCUCCGAAGCGAAGCUAACGCGUUAAGCAUCCCGCCUGAGUAGUACGAGCGCAAGCUUAAAGCUCAAAGGAAUUGACGGGGACCCGCACAAGCGGUGGAGCGUGUGGUUUAAUUCGAUGGUAAACGAAGAACCUUACCAAGGUUUGACAUCCCGGUAGCCGUUCUCCGAAAGGAGAAUUUCAUUUAGUUGGACCGGUGACAGGUGAUGCAUGGCCGUCGUCAGCUCGUGUCGUGAGAUGUUGGGUUAAGUCCCGCAACGAGCGCAACCCUUAUGAUUUAGUUGGAUUUUUCUAAACAGACUGCCCUGGUAACAGGGAGGAAGGAGGGGAUGAUGUCAGGUCAGUAUUUCCCUUACACCUUGGGCGACACACGCGCUACAAUGGCCGGUACAAUGGGCAGCUAAGCCGCGAGGUGGAGCAAAUCCCAUCAAAGCCGGUCCCAGUUCGGAUUGCAGGCUGAAACCCGCCUGCAUGAAGUCGGAAUCGCUAGUAACC
rnacentral:rRNA from 1 species